UCAGGGGUUGGAACAUAACAGCAGAGGAGUUUAAUGCAUUCCUGAAGGAGACAGAGAUGGAAGAUUAUGAUAUUCAAAUAAUCUACAAUCCACGACGGAAGAGGUCUUUCCUUUGCAGCUCUUACAGAAGUGAAAGCUUCACUGAUGAAGACUUCAUGGAAGACUCAUAUGAGGAUUCAG